GGAAGAGUGGCCGAGCGGUUUAAGGCACCGGUCUUGAAAACCGGCGUGGGUGCAAGCUCACCGUGGGUUCGAAUCCCACCUCUUCCGCCA
rnacentral:tRNA from 1 species